AUUGAACGCUGGCGGCAUGCUUUACACAUGCAAGUCGAACGGUAACAGGUUAAGCUGACGAGUGGCGAACGGGUGAGUAAUGCAUCGGAACGUGCCCGAUCGUGGGGGAUAACGCAGCGAAAGCUGCGCUAAUACCGCAUACGAUCUGAGGAUGAAAGCGGGGGACCGUAAGGCCUCCCGCGAUCUGAGCGACCGAUGUCAGAUUAGGUAGGUGGUGGGGUAAAGGCGCACCAAGCCGACGACUUGUAGCUGGUCUGAGAGGACGACCAGCCACACUGGGACUGAGACACGGCCCAGACUCCUACGGGAGGCAGCAGUGGGGAAUUUUGGACAAUGGGCGAAAGCCUGAUCCAGCAAUGCCGCGUGCAGGAAGAAGGCCUUCGGGUUGUAAACUGCUUUUGUACGGAGCGAAAAGGCUCUCUCUAAUACAGGGGGCUCAUGACGGUACCGUAAGAAUAAGCACCGGCUAACUACGUGCCAGCCGCCGCGGUAACAC
rnacentral:rRNA from 1 species